rnacentral:rRNA from 1 species
GACGAACGCUGGCGGCGUGGAUUAGGCAUGCAAGUCGAACGGUAUCAUCCUUUCGGGGGUGAGAGAGUGGCGAACUGGUGAGUAACACGUAGGUUAUCUACCCUCAAGACGGGACAACCCAGGGAAACUUGGGCUAAUACCGGAUGUGAGCAACUUUUAGUUGUUUGAAAGGUGGCGUAAGCUGUCGCUUGGGGAUGAGCCUGCGUCCUAUUAGUUAGUUGGUGAGGUAACGGCUCACCUAGGCAAUGAUAGGUAGGCGGCCUUAACGGGUGGUCGCCCACACUGGGAUUGAGAUACGGCCCAGACUCCUACGGGAGGCAGCAGUCGAGAAUAGUCUACAAUGGUCGGAAGACUGAUAGCGCGACGCCGCGUGAACGAUGAAUCCCUUCGGGGUGUAAAGUUCUUUUAUAUGUGAGCAGUGCUUCUUAUAUUAACAGUAUGGGGAGAGAGAUAUUAGCAUAUGAAUAAGCAACGGCUAACUCCGUG